GAAAGAAAAUGAAACCUAAUGCAAGAUAUAUAUUCACUGCAAACCACUCCCGAGUCCAAUCCUUCAUCCACCUGCCUCUAUUGUUCACUAUCCCAUCAAUUUGUGAUAGAUAAAAUAUCUAGAUGUUGACAUUAAAAACUGUGAGGCAGAUUCUGUCUGAGCCUGAUUAUAACUCACAUCUGCACAAGUUUAACUUGACAUCAGGUAGGUUUAUUAUAAGAUCCGAAUCAAACACAGGGGAGUAUAUUUAUGUGAGAUGUGUGAAGAAUUGAUGGCGUUUGGUUUGGGUCUCCAUCCACCAUAAGACCUGUGGGCUUGAGCACCUCAAACUGGACUGAAAGGACAUUUGUGGCUUGGUUUUCUUGUCUUUUUUCGGAUCGUUUCACUCUUUUCUUGCACGCAGCCAAAGCACAAAACAUCUGAGACUCAAAGGGAGAACAGGAAGUGUUUGCCUUCAUUUCCUCCGCAUUGCCAAACCACCAACCGGUGAAGAAACAGGGAGGACAAUUAUCUGUACACGAAACUAACUAAAGUUUAUUUUAGGAUCUUUACAUGUCAACAAACUGUUUCUAGACAAAAUGUGUAUAUAUAGAAUGUUAAAGAAAUGGUAUGUACUAAACACAAACUGUUAUUGUUUGAAUUGAUGAUCGUUUCAUCAUUAAUAAGGACAGUAACACGAAUGCAAAAUACAAUGUACAUUCGUAAUGAAAGAA